AAAGACCUUAGGGAAAAUAUUGGUCGAAAAGUGCCUCAAAAUUUCAUGGAACAGGUAGUUGGCGGAAAAUUGGAGACAGUAUUCCUUGGAUAAUUGGUCGAUUGGAACAGUGCACAAAUGAGGAGAAAAACAUCCUCUGGUAGGAAAGACUAAUACAGCAACGAUCCCAUGAAUCAACGACAUCAUAGCUACUGCCAUACGCCACCGGCGAGCACCAAUGAUAAGAGAACACAUCAUGGCCCGUCUUCAUGACCUUCGAUGAGCA
rnacentral:lncRNA from 1 species